ACUUUCGAUGGUAGGAUAGAGGCCUACUAUGGUUUCAACGGGUAACGGGGAAUAAGGGUUCGAUUCCGGAGAGGGAGCCUGAGAAACGGCUACCACAUCCAAGGAAGGCAGCAGGCGCGCAAAUUACCCAAUCCCGACACGGGGAGGUAGUGACAAUAAAUAACAAUAUAGGGCUCUUUUGGGUCUUAUAAUUGGAAUGAGUACAAUUUAAAUCCCUUAACGAGGAUCAAUUGGAGGGCAAGUCUGGUGCCAGCAGCCGCGGUAAUUCCAGCUCCAAUAGCGUAUAUUAAAGUUGUUGCAGUUAAAAAGCUCGUAGUUGAAUUUCGGGAUCAAUAUGUUGGUCGUGCCUUGGUACGUACUAGCUUAUUGGUUUCUCCUUUCUGAAGAACCAUGAUGUCAUUCAUUUGGUGUCGUGGGGAAUCAGGACUGUUACUUUGAAAAAAUUAGAGUGUUUAAAGCAGGCUCACGCUUGAAUACAUUAGCAUGGAAUAAUGAAAUAGGACGUUUGAUUCUAUUUUGUUGGUUUCUAGGAUCGACGUAAUGAUUAAUAGGGAUAGUUGGGGGCAUUAGUAUUCAAUUGUCAGAGGUGAAAUUCUUGGAUUUAUUGAAGACUAACUACUGCGAAAGCAUUUGCCAAGGAUGUUUUCAUUAAUCAAGAACGAAAGUUAGGGGAUCGAAGACGAUCAGAUACCGUCGUAGUCUUAACCAUAAACUAUGCCGACUAGGGAUCGGAUGAUGUUAAUUUUUUAAUGACUCAUUCGGCGCCUUACGGGAAACCAAAGUGUUUGGGUUC
rnacentral:rRNA from 1 species